AACGAACGCUGGCGGCAGGCUUAACACAUGCAAGUCGAACGCAUCCUUCGGGAUGAGUGGCAGACGGGUGAGUAACGCGUGGGAAUCUGUCCUUUGCUACGGAACAACUCCGGGAAACUGGAGCUAAUACCGUAUGUGUCUCUUUCGCAAGAUUGAGAGAAAGGUUUACCGGCAAAGGGUGAGCCCGCGUCCGAUUAGCUAGUUGGUGGGGUAAAGGCCUACCAAGGCGACGAUCGGUAGCUGGUCUGAGAGGACGAUCAGCCACACUGGGACUGAGACACGGCCCAGACUCCUACGGGAGGCAGCAGUGGGGAAUAUUGGACAAUGGGCGCAAGCCUGAUCCAGCCAUGCCGCGUGAGUGAUGAAGGCCCUAGGGUUGUAAAGCUCUUUCACCGGUGAAGAUAAUGACGGUAACCGGAGAAGAAGCCCCGGCUAACUACGUGCCAGCAGCCGCCGUAACAC
rnacentral:rRNA from 1 species